UUAAAAAGCUCGUAGUUGAAUUUCGGGGUUAGUAGGUUGGUCAUGCCUCUGGUAUGUACUGGUCUCACUGAUUCCUCCUUCCUUAUGAACCGUAAUGCCAUUAAUUUGGUGUCGCGGGGAAUUUGGACUGUUACUUUGAAAAAAUUAGAGUGUUUAAAGCAAGCUAACGCUUGAAUACAUUAGCAUGGAAUAAUGAAAUAGGACGUUCGAUCUUAUUUUGUUGGUUUCUAGGAUUGACGUAAUGAUUAAUAGGGAUAGUUGGGGG
rnacentral:rRNA from 1 species